AACACUGUUAACCUGCGGUACCUGCGGAAGGAUCAUUACCGAGUUUACAACUCCCAAACCCCUGUGAACAUACCUAUACGUUGCCUCGGCGGAUCAGCCCGCGCCCUGUAAAAAGGGACGGCCCGCCCGAGGACCCCUAAACUCUGUUUUUAGUGGAACUUCUGAGUAAAACAAACAAAUAAAUCAAAACUUUCAGCAACGGAUCU
rnacentral:misc_RNA from 1 species